GAUGAACGCUGGCGGCGUGCCUAAUACAUGCAAGUCGAGCGAACGGACGAGAAGCUUGCUUCUCUGAUGUUAGCGGCGGACGGGUGAGUAACACGUGGAUAACCUACCUAUAAGACUGGGAUAACUUCGGGAAACCGUAGCUAAUACCGGAUAAUAUUUUGAACCGCAUAGUUCAAAAGUGAAAGACGGUCUUGCUGUCACUUAUAGAUGGAUCCGCGCUGCAUUAGCUAGUUGGUAAGGUAACGGCUUACCAAGGCAACGAUGCAUAGCCGACCUGAGAGGGUGAUCGGCCACACUGGAACUGAGACACGGUCCAGACUCCUAAGGGAGGCAGCAGUAGGGAAUCUUCCGCAAUGGGCGAAAGCCUGACGGAGCAACGCCGCGUGAGUGAUGAAGGUCUUCGGAUCGUAAAACUCUGUUAUUAGGGAAGAACAUAUGUGUAAGUAACUGUGCACAUCUUGACGGUACCUAACCAGAAAGCCACGGCUAACUACGUG
rnacentral:rRNA from 1 species